rnacentral:rRNA from 1 species
AUUGAACGCUGGCGGCAGGCCUAACACAUGCAAGUCGAACGGUAGCACAGAGAGCUUGCUCUUGGGUGACGAGUGGCGGACGGGUGAGUAAUGUCUGGGAAACUGCCCGAUGGAGGGGGAUAACUACUGGAAACGGUAGCUAAUACCGCAUAACGUCUUCGGACCAAAGUGGGGGACCUUCGGGCCUCACACCAUCGGAUGUGCCCAGAUGGGAUUAGCUAGUAGGUGGGGUAAUGGCUCACCUAGGCGACGAUCCCUAGCUGGUCUGAGAGGAUGACCAGCCACACUGGAACUGAGACACGGUCCAGACUCCUACGGGAGGCAGCAGUGGGGAAUAUUGCACAAUGGGCGCAAGCCUGAUGCAGCCAUGCCGCGUGUAUGAAGAAGGCCUUCGGGUUGUAAAGUACUUUCAGCGGGGAGGAAGGCGAUGAGGUUAAUAACCGCAUCGAUUGACGUUACCCGCAGAAGAAGCACCGGCUAACUCCGUGCCAGCAGCCGCCGUAA